UACGGGGGGGGCAAGCGUUGUUCGGAAUUACUGGGCGUAAAGGGCUCGUAGGUGGCCAACUAAGUCAGACGUGAAAUCCCUCGGCUUAACCGGGGAACUGCGUCUGAUACUGGAUGGCUUGAGAUUGGGAGAGGGAUGCGGAAUUCCAGGUGUAGCGGUGAAAUGCAUAGAUAUCUGGAGGAACACCGGUGGCGAAGGCGGCAUCCUGGACCAACACUGACACUGAGGAGCGAAAGCCAGGGGAGCAAACGGG
rnacentral:rRNA from 1 species